AAGAAUCAGAAGAAAAAAACAAAAGAAAGAAAGAGAAAGAUAUACAGAGGUUGCAAUCAGUAAAAAUCAAAGCAAAGCUGUUUGCAUCUCUCUCUUUCUCUCUCUCUCUCUCUCUCACACACACACAUUUGAUCAUAUUCUUUUCCAAAACCCUGUUUUGUUUCUCUCUCUACAAUCUUUUCCUUUACUAAGCAUAUUUGUUUUUUCCCUUUAAUGAGUCUCCAUUUUUAGACCUCCCUUUUCUAUUCUUGUUCAGAAAAAUCUCAAACCCAAAUCAGAUUCUCAUUCUCUCACACUCCCAAAUCCAUCAAAUUCUUUAAACCCAUUUCCAUUUUCUCUCAGAGACCCCCGAAAACAUAGUGUACUUAUUAAUUAAUUUUCUCUGAAUUUUUUUAUAUACAUAUAGUUAUAUAUAUAGAGUAUAUUACUGGGGGAUUUUUUUUUUUGGUGGGGGUUGUGUGUGUGAAUCUAAUGGCUGCGGUGGCUGAAGUGUCUGGUGAGGCAGUGGCUGCCAAGACCUUAGACACCAAACCCACAUCGGAAUCUGAAAUCAAUGUGCAAGUGCAAGAACUUGUUGCUAUGUUCAAAAAGUUGAAUCCUUUAGCCAAAGAGUUUUUUCCUUCCUCAUACCCAAAUCAUCAAAAUAGCUUUUAUUUUCUGAACAACGGUCAAUUGUCUCCCAACAAUUUUGCUGACACCAAUAAGCCUUCUGGCAAUGAUUUCUAUCCCAACAACCGCAGGAGAAGAAACAACUAUAACCAGGGGAGGAGAAGGUUGAAUGGGAGAGCUUUCAAAGCUCAACGAGAGGAUAGCAUUAGACGAACGGUUUAUGUUUCUGAUAUUGACCAGCAUGUCACUGAAGAGCGGCUUGCUGCCUUAUUUAGUAGUUGUGGCCAGGUUAAUGAUUGCCGAAUUUGUGGUGAUCCGCAUUCAGUUCUACGUUUUGCAUUUGUGGAGUUUGCUGAUGACCAUGGUGCAAGAGCAGCUCUAGAACUUGGAGGGACGAUGCUUGGGUACUAUCCGGUUAGGGUUUUACCUUCAAAAACUGCCAUCCUUCCUGUGAACCCUACAUUCCUUCCUAGAUCAGAGGAUGAACGGGAAAUGUGUGCCAGGACAGUCUAUUGUACAAAUAUUGAUAAGAAGGUUUCUCAAGCUGAAGUGAAGAACUUCUUUGAAACAGCCUGUGGUGGUGAGGUUACUCGCUUGAGGCUUUUGGGAGAUCAUGUUCAUUCAACUCGUAUAGCUUUUGUUGAAUUUGCACUGGUACCAUAUAAAGGGAUAUGAGAAAUUUAUAGAUUAUGAAGCUUUGGUGCAAAAAGAGGCUAGAGUUGUUGACUUAAAGACUGCUUUAUCACAUUCUAACUUCUAAUUAUGAGCUGCAAAAUAAGCUCCAUUGAGUCCAAUUCAGAAUGAGUGGUAUACUACAUUCUGGUUUCUCUUUUGCAAAAAACAGUGAUCCUCAUUCUAGGCGGAAAGUGCCACUACUGCACUGAGUUGCAGUGGGAUGAUAGUAGGAACCCAACCCAUCAGGGUAAGUCCAUCAAAGACACCCGUGAGGCCGCGAGUUACUCGCCCAACAUUGCAUUAACUAAUCAUCAUUGUCCAAGACACAUGGAUGGAAUUGGGUCAACUUCCCAGUUGAGAGAGACUUGUGUUGAAGGGGUGGUGAAACUUUUUUUUUUUUUUUUUUUUUUGUUUUUUUUUUUUGGUCUUCAGUAUUUCCAUCUUUUCUGUCUCAACAGUUACUUUUUCUGUGACUGAACAUAUCGUGAUCCUGCUUCAAUUGAAGUUUUACAAGACUGGGCCUCAGUCUGAGAAUUUUUCCUUGUUC